GGAUCAGUACGCUGGUCGUGCCUUCGGUAUGUACUGGUGUUACUGGUUCCUACCUUCUGACGAACCGUCAUGUCAUUAAUUUGGUGUGGCGGGGAAUCAGGACUGUUACUUUGAAAAAAUUAGAGUGUCCAAAGCAGGCCUAUACACGGUGCCUUGAAUACAUUAGCAUGGGAUAAUGGA
rnacentral:rRNA from 1 species